CGCGCCCUCCGCCCGCACUCAAGCCCCGCACUCGCGCCUCCGCCCGCACUCUCUGCUCUCUUCCCCGAUCCCCUCCCACGAACCCUAGCAUCCUGGUGCCGCCACCCAUUCCUUCCCCCGUCCCUCCCCCACCCCUCCCCCGCGCCCGAGCCCCUCCCUCCACUUCGUCGCCACCGCUGUCUCUCCUCUUCCUCCCCGCUCUAGCCCCUCCAGGUCGUCGCUCGCGGUGGUUCCAGAUCCUGCGCUGGUCGUCCCCAUGGGUGAGGAGGGGAGGUUGGGUCUUCAAGGUUGGCGGAGGUGCAGGGAGACCGGCAGCGUGGGGAGGAGCAGUGAGCCAGGAGCCAGGGAGAGGCCAACGUCGGGGACAAGAAGCAGCGGGGCCAGCGGUCCAUCGCGGUGGUUUGGAGGGAGAGGGAGAGGGAGGAGGUCGGCCACGAGAGAAGGAGCAGGCCGGCCCUGCUUCAUCAUGGAGGAUGUCCAGCUGCUCGUCCUCCUCCGCCUCUUCUCCAAGCGUCCAUCCUAUCGCAACUCAGCUUCAGAAUUGGGUGCGUAUGAACAAUGCAACGGAGGUUAUGUUAAUUCCUAGAAUCUUAUAUGUUCUUUUGUCUCCUGGUGAUUACUUCGAAUGGCUGUGUGAGGUAAUAGAGCUAAUACCUUUUGUUUCUUCAUCACUAUAAACCGUGUCUGAUUUUAAAACUGAGAGCCAUAAAAUAUAUGCAUUAAUCUCUCUUGAUAUUUUCCCAUACGACCAACAUUAAUCUAUGUUGAUGUGUUCUAUGCCAAUUCAUUGCCGAUGGAGUGCCAACAUUAAUCGUAUAUAAAAUUUAGUUCUAACUUGCAAAAAUGUUCUGAUUACUGUUUGUGUGUGUGGCUACACAUCUGUGCCGUUCCAGCUGCUCUGUUCUUACUUUGAACACCGAGUUGAGCAGUGGAUCACGCGGGAAAAAAAUCAAACCGCUUCAAAUGAAGAAAUACUCUUCUAAAACUAUGCUCCUCUUAGGACAGACACACCUCCUGUGCAUAUGGUUGUAGGUUGUAUCCAUGCCAAGAUAGCACCUUGUAUGCAUAAGAUGGACCAUAUUUUGAAUAUACGAAAAAUCAAUUUAUUUAGUUUUCUUGCUGUCAGAAUAAGAGCAUGAAACCAACUUCCAUCAAACACAUAUCUGCAGCAUUAUACUAUGUACAGGGUGCAGAUAUAUAUAUUUGUUGACCAAGCAAUUCCUUUCUUCUGACUAAACGACCAAUAUAUGAUUACCAAUCACCCAAUUUCCUCCCUAUUUUUUUAUUGCAACAUAACAUAUUGUAUUCUCUGUUUUCUAAUCUUAGUGUAAUCUGAUGUGCAAACAGAGAUGCCUUUAUUCACAAAAAGGCAGGCAGUGUAAGUGAAGAACACCUAAAACAGAUGGAAAAUGCAAUUACAGACACACCGUCGUUCUAUUUUUCUACAGGAACACAGGUUGCAAUUCCAGUUUCAUCGACGGACUCGCUUGCUGCUCUAGAAGGUGCUUGGGCUUGUUUCUCUGACCGAUUUAUUGGGACAUCUCACAUGGAUCUUCACUGCCUCAUAUACCUAUUUUUUAUUCUCUCGUCAAUUCCACACGUCUGCUCGUCCAUUACAUGGUACUAGAUGGUCCCUGUUAAGUUAAUUCGAGGUACAUCCCAUCAGGACUAUUAUUUGAUUUGUUGGAUUAAUUUAUUUCAGAUAGCUUACUCCAGGUUGAAUCUCUUUGUCAUUGAAACUUCAUUGAGAAGACAGACAACAAUAUACUUUGCAAAUGCGACCCUAGAUGUUCCAAUAUAUUGUCAUAUUAUGGUUUUGUUUUAUUUUUUAUUGCUUCCUAUUGUUUGCUUUGUUUGAACUGCAUUUUAUAGCCAGGUUUUUUUUGUUGCUUUUGUUUUGUUUAGGUGGGUUCUAAACCAUUAAAGCAGAAAACAUACUGUUUAUAAGAAGUAUACAUAGUAUUGUAGAUUUAUGUUCACCCAUUAUCCAGAACGUUGACCUGGAGUCCUCCUUUUACAUAUUUGGUCUUCUUGGAAUCAAGCAAAAAUUACUAAGAAGCACAUAACUGAUUAUUUCUUCUGCUUAGCCUCAUUUUUGUUAUGCACACAGGUGGGUAAGGUUUGAAUCUCUAUAGGACUCACAGUUAGGUGCCACUGGAGGCAUAUUAUGUAAGUGCAUGUCUAUUGUUAUGAGUUUCAGUUUUCGACUCUAUGCAAUUCUCGGUGCAAGGGCCCCCGCUUCCUUGUUGUGACGUUGCAGCCUCACUGGGCCUUCUGCAGGCAAGAGUUAUGUCCAGAUGAGCUAACCCUUUACUAUCCAAACCUUCUGAAGAUGGAGCAACAACGCUAAAGAUGGAGCAGCCUGCCAUGUAUUAGGGCAUACGCAUUUCUGUUGGGAUUAUGCGGGUGACAAUAUCAGGUAUGUACAAGCGCCUCUGGCAUACCCUCGAGAAAGAAAGCGAAGGAUAAAUGGAGGCCAAGGAUGGUUGCCGUUUUUUGUAUAUUGUGAUGGCUUCAACCCUGAAACAAGAAUAGAAGGGAGCCUGAGAACACUCAGCUUGCGCCAUGCUCUAAGAGAUAGACGGAGGUCUCAACUGGCUGGGAAGAUUUGACAAGAGAUGUGGAGAUGGGGCACGGGGAGGGGAGGGCGAGUCGGCCUGGAGGCCCCGGUUGUGGCUUCGACUAGGCAGGCCUGGGACUCGCGGUGGCGGGCGGCCUCGCGCUGGAGCUGGUCCUGGCGGGCGGCCUUGGCCUCGUCCACACGGACUUCUCCUGGUUGUCGAACCGGUCGAGGGUCAUCCAACUUCUUGUUUAUCAGGCUACUAUUUGAUAAAAUGUAAGAUAUUUCUGUUUGGAAGGGUUUCCUGACGUCCGGACCGGUCAUACUUUUGCAAGAUACAUGCGAGCAUUGUUGUGUCCAACCUGCACAAGAAUGCCAAGAAGUCCUUCUCGGAGACGAUUAAGGACAUGUACCUGCACUACAACGAGAGAUCUGGGCUGCUUCUUUGUGGCUUCCAAAUUUGAAAUGUUUCUUUGGGAGUUAGUUUAGUUUUCUGUUAUGGAUUCACAGCUUCUCACAUGUACCAUCCUCUUAGACCUUUAGAUUUCCAAAGAAACAAAAUGAAGAUAUUGUGGUAUGGUCUCAAUAAUACAACUUAAAGCUUUUCAUGCUUUAUAUUUUCUUUGAAA